rnacentral:rRNA from 1 species
UACGUAGGUGGCGAGCGUUGUCCGGAAUUAUUGGGCGUAAAGCGCGCGCAGGCGGUCUCUUAAGUCUGAUGUGAAAGCCCCCGGCUCAACCGGGGAGGGUCAUUGGAAACUGGGAGACUUGAGUGCAGGAGAGGGAAGCGGAAUUCCAUGUGUAGCGGUGAAAUGCGUAGAGAUAUGGAGGAACACCAGUGGCGAAGGCGGCUUCCUGGCCUGUAACUGACGCUGAGGCGCGAAAGCGUGGGGAGCAAACAGG